rnacentral:rRNA from 1 species
GACGAACGCUGGCGGCGUGCUUAACACAUGCCAGUCGAACGGAAAGGCCCUGCUUGCAGGGUACUCGAGUGGCGAACGGGUGAGUAACACGUGGGUGAUCUGCCCUGCACUUCGGGAUAAGCUUGGGAAACUGGGUCUAAUACCGGAUAGGAGCCAUCUUUAGUGUGGUGGUUGGAAAGUUUUUUCGGUGUAGGAUGAGCUCGCGGCCUAUCAGCUUGUUGGUGGGGUAAUGGCCUACCAAGGCGGCGACGGGUAGCCGGCCUGAGAGGGUGUACGGCCACAUUGGGACUGAGAUACGGCCCAGACUCCGACGGGAGGCAGCAGUGGGGAAUAUUGCACAAUGGGCGCAAGCCUGAUGCAGCGACGCCGCGUGGGGGAUGAAGGCCUUCGGGUUGUAAACUCCUUUCGCUAGGGACGAAGCGUUGUUGUGACGGUACCUAGAUAAGAAGCACCGGCUAACUACGUG